GUUUCCGUAUUGUAGUGGUUAUCACGUUCGCCUCACACGCGAAAGGUCCCUAGUUCGAAACUGGGCGGAAACA
rnacentral:tRNA from 1 species